UACGGGGGGGGCAAGCGUUGUUCGGAAUCACUGGGCUUAAAGGGCGCGUAGGCGGGCUGUCAAGUCUGGGGUGAAAUCCCACGGCUCAACCGUGGAACUGCCUCAGAUACUGACGGCCUCGAGGGAGAUAGGGGCGAGCGGAACUGUGAGUGGAGCGGUGAAAUGCGUUGAUAUUCACAGGAACUCCGGUGGCGAAGGCGGCUCGCUGGAUCUCUUCUGACGCUGAGGCGCGAAAGCGUGGGGAGCGAACAGG
rnacentral:rRNA from 1 species